AAGCUCAUGAUGUCGACAAUGUCUCAUCACAUCCUUAUAUCUUUCCCAUUCUUCGAAAAGCGAUUCUCUAUCUUUCUGUUUAAAUCCGUUGAUUUAUAUCCCUAGCGU